rnacentral:rRNA from 1 species
AACGAACGCUGGCGGCAUGCCUAACACAUGCAAGUCGAACGAGACCUUCGGGUCUAGUGGCGCACGGGUGCGUAACGCGUGGGAACCUGCCUUUAGGUUCGGAAUAACUCCGAGAAAUUUGAGCUAAUACCGGAUAAUGUCUUCGGACCAAAGAUUUAUCGCCUUUAGAUGGGCCCGCGUUGGAUUAGCUAGUUGGUGGGGUAAAGGCCUACCAAGGCGACGAUCCAUAGCUGGUCUGAGAGGAUGAUCAGCCACACUGGGACUGAGACACGGCCCAGACUCCUACGGGAGGCAGCAGUGGGGAAUAUUGGACAAUGGGCGAAAGCCUGAUCCAGCAAUGCCGCGUGAGUGAUGAAGGCCUUAGGGUUGUAAAGCUCUUUUACCCGAGAUGAUAAUGACAGUAUCGGGAGAAUAAGCUCCGGCUAACUCCGUG